GCCAGCAGCCAGAUCACCCCGCAACUCACAACUAGAAAUCCACUGAAGCUCAGCAGGUGAGAGCCUGGCCAGUACCUGGAUGGGAGACUCCUGGGAAAGCUGAGGUUGCUGCUGGAA
rnacentral:rRNA from 1 species